CAAUCAGUUUUUAUAUGCAAGCACAUCUCCGGUCCGCAACAGAAAUUGUGCUACAAAUUGUGUUAAGACCAUUGUGCAAUAAUGCGCAGAAAUCAAACAAAGAACAGGUUACAUAGAAAGUAUAGUACAAGGGGGCGGACCAUACAUGCCAGAGAGCAACGAAAUAGUUUGUCAGAAUUAUUUUCAUAAGCAAAGCACAUCUUCAGUUCACAUCUUGAGCAGCCAUGGUGAGCCACCAAGCACAUCUUCAGUUCAUGACAGCGGUGUUGCGACAAAUUGUGACCAUUCUGCAGUCAUGCCCAGGAAUCCGGCAACAAAGAAGUUACAAGACAUUGCAAAAUUACAAAGCUUAUGGAGAAGAACAGUGAGGCACAACAUAUACUAAGACUCAGUUGCUGGGUUAAAUACAGAACAGGGGAAAAAAAAGUUGAGCUGACAUUAUCUACUACAGAAAUUAAGAACCACACUGCACACAAGAUGGCAGUACCAAGCUAAACACUGGAGCAUAUCCUCAGUGUGCUUUCACUGCCACUGAUUUGGGAAUGCUUCCCUGUAGGUCAUAUCCUCAGUAUUAGAAGCUUCUCUUAUUGUUGCAUCCCUAGCACGACCAUUUAGUAGCCUCCCUGCAAUCCUAUCUUUUGCAGUAACUUUCUUCUUCAGCGUUGAUGAUAGUGUAGGUUCCUUCAUUUUACCUAGACGUCGACCACGUCAGCCCAAUGUUCCAAGCACAUCUUCAGUUCACGAUGGCAGUCAUGUUAAAAAUUGUGAACAUUCUUCAGUAAUGCCCAGAAAUCAGGCAAUGAACAAGUUACAGGACAUUGCAAAAUCACAGUGCUUAUGUCAUGUGGGGCGCUGCGUACAGGCGCGGGUCGCGCGCCCAGGGGCAGCAGCCGACGGCCACAGCUGGCGAGGCAUGAUCGGGACAAGGAGUCCUGAUCCUAUGUUGGUUCCUAGAGUCCAGGAAUAGUUAGUUUCCUAGUUUGUUAGGAGUCCAGGAGUAGUUAGUUUCCUAGUUUGUUAGAAGCCCAUAAGGCCUUUAUAUAUCCUGUAAUCUGCACCCUUGGACGCAGGCAAUAAAUCAUUAUCUCCUACCUCCUCCUCUACUCCUAAUCUCUUCUCCUGCACCAUUGAGCAGUUAGGCAAAAACCCUAGCGCUCCUAUCAACCGAGACUACGAACUACGUAGUCGAGGUCCUGCUGUCUUGGGCACCGAGGUCCUUGACAACUUGGUAUCAGGUUCCAGGCGAUCCUCUUCCUCGUCCGCGCUCCAUCCGCAGCCCGCCGCCACCCCUGCGUCCGCGCCAAGCACACCUCCAUCGCCACCAUCCGCCGCCGCCUCGGUCACUUCCGGCAUGGCAGAACCAACCACCGCUGAUCUGGCCACGAUGAUCGAGGCCUUGACUGCAACGGUGGCGUCCCUGCAGACGUCCGUCGCCGCGCUCCAGAAGGACAAGUCUACCUCCUCGUCGAGCGCUGCCGGCGCCCACGAUGGGCAGCACCACAAUGAUCGCCCGCCCCGGUUUCAGAAGAUGGACUUCCCCAAGUUCGACGGCAAGUCAGAUCCGCUCGCUUUCCUCAACAGAUGCGAGUCCUUCUUCCAUCAACAACGGAUCGCCGAGGAGGAAAAAGUCUGGAUGGCGUCCUACAACCUUGAGGGUUCUGCCCAGCUGUGGUACAUGCAGGUCCAGCGUGACGAGGGCACUCCGCCGUGGCGCCGCUUCUCCGAGCUGCUCAACCUCCGCUUCGGGCCACCUCUACGCGCUAACCCGCUGGGCGAACUAAUGGCGUGCAAGCGCACAACGUCCGUAGUCGACUUCCAGGAGCGGUUUGAGGCGCUCCUCCCCCGGGCAGGCAUCUUAUCAGAGACACAGAAGGUUCAGAUCUUCACCGCGGGACUCCAGCCACCCCUCAGCCUCGACGUGGAAAUCCACAACCCGCAGUCCCUCGCCGUCGCCAUGAGCCUCGCCCGCAAGUUGGAGCUGCGCGACCAGUGCGCGCUCACCUCCGCACCACCGGUGCGUUUUCAGCAGAAGGGCAUCCUGCCGGCGCCCGUACCACGCCUCGCGCCCCCCGUACCGGCUCUACCAGCCGCACCCCCUGCACCUAGUCUGCCGGAAGGGCGCCCAAUCAAACACCUGUCACAGACAGAGAUGGAGGAACGCCGUCGCCUGGGCCUAUGCUUCAAUUGUAAUGAGAAGUUUGGCAGGGGCCACAACCGUGUCUGCCAGCGCAUCUUCCUCCUCGACCUGGCGCCGGACGACGACGACGACGACACGGCCUCCGCCACCGCUGAUGCCUCACCGGCCGACCCUCGGAUCUCGCUCCACGCGAUCUCCGGCGUGCGCACGAGCGAGACCAUGCAGAUGCAUGUCACCCUCGGGGGUGUCUCCCUCCUCGCCCUGAUCGACUCAGGCUCCACCCACAACUUCAUCGCUGAGGAGGCGGCCGCUCGUGCUACACUGCCAUCCCCCACCACCGAGAAGAUGCGUGUCACGGUGGCCAACGGCGAGCGUGUUCCGUGCCAGGGCGCAUACCGCGCCGUCUCCUUCCGCAUUGACCAGGAGGCGUUCUCGGAGGAUUUCCUCGCCUUGCCGCUCGCAGGCUACGACGUCAUCUUGGGCACGCAAUGGCUGGCGACGCUUGGACCGAUCCUGUGGGAUUUUCGCGCCCUCUCCAUGACGUUCUGGUGGAGGGGCCAUCGGGUCUGCUGGCGCGGCCUUGCCGGACCGGACGGGCCAGCCCUGCAAUCAUGCAAUGGCCGCGAUUUCCUCGACGCCAUCCUCACCGAGUUUGACGGCAUCUUCGCCGAACCCUCCGGCGUACCACCACUCCGCAGCCGCGACCACGGCAUCACCCUGCUGCCAGGCUCCGCCCCGGUGGCCGUCCGUCCGUAUCGCUACCCGGCCGUGCACAAGGACGAGCUGGAGCGUCAGUGCGCCGCCAUGCUCGCCCAGGGCAUCAUCCGAGCAAGUCGUUCCGCAUUCUCAUCGCCGGUACUGCUGGUCCGCAAGCCCGACGGGUCCUGGCGCUUCUGCAUCGACUACCGCGCCCUGAACGCCAUCACCAUCAAGGAUGCGUUUCCAAUUCCGGUGGUGGACGAACUCCUCGACGAGCUCCGGCGCGCUCGUUUCUUCACCAAGCUCGACUUACGCUCCGGCUACCACCAGGUGCGGAUGCGUGCGGAGGACAUCCCAAAGACUGCCUUCCGUACCCACGACGGCCUCUACGAGUUCCUGGUGAUGCCGUUCGGCCUCUGCAACGCGCCGGCGACGUUCCAGGCACUCAUGAACGAUCUACUGCGGCCGUACCUGCGCCGUUUCGUUCUCGUCUUCUUCGACGACAUCCUCAUAUUCAGCGAGUCGUGGGCCGAUCAUCUUCGCCAUGUGCGCACCAUCUUUACCGUACUGCGCCAGCACCGGCUCUUCGUCAAGAGGUCCAAAUGCUCGUUCGCCGUCGAGUCGAUCUCCUACCUGGGUCACACCAUCUCCGCGGCCGGAGUGGCCAUGGAUCCGGAAAAAGUGCAGGCCGUGGCCGACUGGCCGCAGCCUCGCUCGGCGCGCGCGGUCCGGGGGUUUCUCGGUCUUGCAGGGUACUACCGCAAGUUUGUCAAGGAGUUUGGCGUGGUCGCCGCGCCCCUGACGGCCCUGCUUCGCAAGGACGGCUUCUCAUGGUCGCCAGAGGCGGCAACAGCUUUUACCGCCCUCAAGACGGCGGUCACCACGGCUCCCGUGCUCGCAUUGCCCGAUUUCACACGGCCGUUCAUCGUCGAGUGUGACGCGUCUACAUACGGUUUCGGGGCCGUCCUUCUCCAGGAUCAGCACCCGGUGGCUUUCUUCAGCCGGCCGGCCGCGCCUUGUCACCGUUCUCUGGCGGCAUAUGAACGGGAACUCAUUGGCCUGGUGCUCGCUAUUCGCCAUUGGCGACCGUACCUCUGGGGGCGCCAAUUUGUGGUAAAAACUGACCACUACAGUCUCAAAUUCCUCCUUGACCAGCGCUUGGCAACCAUUCCGCAGCACCACUGGGUCGGCAAACUACUGGGGUUCGAUUUCACUGUGGAGUACAAGGCCGGUAGUACAAACACGGUGGCGGAUGCCCUUUCCCGCCGCGACACGGCAGAGACGGGGGUCAUGGUUAUAUCUGGUCCUCACUUCGACUUCAUCGACCGCCUACGGCACGCUUCGUCCACCGACCCAGCACUCGUCGCGUUGCGCGAGGAUAUCACGGCAGGCGCUCGGCAGCUGCCGUGGGCGCUCUCCGACGGCCUCGUCACUUUUAACGGCCGCCUCUACAUCCCGCCAACGUCUCCACUACUCCAGGAGCUUCUCACCGCAGUGCACGAUGACGGACACGAAGGCGUCCUGCGCAUGCUGCAUCGUCUCCGCCGCGACUUCCACGCACCUAACCUUCGCAAGACGGUGCAGGAGUAUGUCCGCGCCUGUGGUACUUGCCAGCGGUACAAGUCCGAGCACUUGCACCCCGCCGGUCUGCUGCUGCCACUGCCGGUGCCCACUGCCGUGUGGACUGACGUCGGCAUCGAUUUCGUAGAAGCGCUCCCUCGUGUGGGCGGGAAGUCUAUUAUCCUCACCGUGGUGGAUCGCUUCAGCAAGUACUGCCACUUUGUGGCGCUGGCCCACCCGUACACGGCGGAAUCAGUGGCGCAGGUGUUCUUCGCUGAGAUUGUGCGUCUCCAUGGCGUCCCGCAGUCCAUGGUCUCUGACCGCGACCCCGUCUUCACCUCGGCUUUUUGGCGGGAGCUCAUGCGCCUCACCGGGACCAAGCUGCACAUGACGACGGCGUUUCAUCCACAGUCGGAUGGCCAAACGGAGGCUGCUAACAAGAUCAUUGUGAUGUAUCUCCGUUGUCUCACCGGGGAUCGUCCCAGGCAGUGGCUCCGAUGGCUUCCCUCAUAUACAACACCGCCUACCAGACAUCAACCCAAGAAACUCCGUUCAAGCUUGUGUAUGGCCGUGACCCUCCCACUAUUCGCUCUUACGAGCCGGGCGAUACACGGGUGGCCGCAGUGGCCAGGAGCAUGGCGGAGUGCGACGAGUUACUCGCAGACGUCCGCUAUCGUCUACAGCAGGCACAAGCGGUCUACAAGUCCUACUACGACAGACGCCAUCGGGACAUUCGGCAUGACGUGGGCGAUUGGGUCUGGCUUCGUCUUCGCCAGCGCGCCGCGUCCUCUCCCAACCUGCCAACCAGGGGCAAGCUCAAGCCACGCUUCUAUGGGCCGUACCGCAUUUCAGAGGUCGUCAACGACGUGGCCUACCGCCUUGAGCUUCCGGCACGCUCGCGCCUCCAUGACGUGUUCCACGUGGGCCUCCUCAAGAAGUUCUUCGGCACACCUCCAACUGCACCACCGGGAUUGCCUCCGAUCCACAACGGGGCGGCUGUUCCAGAACCGGAGCGCGUGACUCGUGCACGACUAGCACGCGGCGUUCGCCAGCUGCUCGUCCACUGGAAGGGUGAAGCAGCAUCAUCAGCUACAUGGGAGGAUCUUGACAGUUUUGUCGAGCGCUACCCCGCUUUUCAGCUCGAGGACGAGCUGCUCGUCGAGGGGGGGAGAGAUGUCAUGUGGGGCGCUGCGUACAGGCGCGGGUCGCGCGCCCAGGGGCAGCAGCCGACGGCCACAGCUGGCGAGGCAUGAUCGGGACAAGGAGUCCUGAUCCUAUGUUGGUUCCUAGAGUCCAGGAAUAGUUAGUUUCCUAGUUUGUUAGGAGUCCAGGAGUAGUUAGUUUCCUAGUUUGUUAGAAGCCCAUAAGGCCUUUAUAUAUCCUGUAAUCUGCACCCUUGGACGCAGGCAAUAAAUCAUUAUCUCCUACCUCCUCCUCUACUCCUAAUCUCUUCUCCUGCACCAUUGAGCAGUUAGGCAAAAACCCUAGCGCUCCUAUCAACCGAGACUACGAACUACGUAGUCGAGGUCCUGCUGUCUUGGGCACCGAGGUCCUUGACAGCUUAUGGAGAAGAACAAUGAGGCACGACAUAUACUCAAAGACUCAGUUGUGCUGAGCUAAAUACAGAACGGGGGAAGACAGGUUGAGCUGGCAUUAUUUACUACAGAAAUUAAGAACCACAUUGCACACAAGAUGGCAGCACCAAGCUAAACUGUGGGGCAUUGGGUACACAUCUGAUAGCUAACAGUAAUUCCAUUGCAGAAGAUGCAACCUAGAGUCAACCUGUUUAUUGCCCGGUACAAGCCAAGGCAAAACCAAGAUAACAGAACAGAAGAGCAGAGAGAAAACAGAAACCCUCUCUUAGCAUUGGAAACAAUAGAUAUCAAUCAUCCGGUUUAUCGUCGCCUCACCUGAGCUGUUGUAAGGCCAGUUCAGAAUAUCGGAUGUUGAUGGUGUAGCUCCAGAGAAGCUGGAUGACCGUGGAAGGACGGUCGGCAACAAGGACAAACUGCUUGGCAUGCUUCACAAAAUCGACGGCUUUCGGUUUAUUGGUGCCUGUUCUGACUUGGAUUCCCAAUCCGACUGCCAGAACAAAUGGUAUAGGACUUUCUUUUCUGAAUUUUUCCAUGAACAGUCUGGAAGCAGCUUCAGAGCCCUGCGUACUUCAAGCACCUCAAGCGCACAACAGCACAACAUAACGAAACCGUUAAUUAUGAAGAAAGACCUACUCAGGGUGCUUUCACUGCCACUGAUUUGGGAAUGCUUCCCUGUAGGUCAUAUCCUCAGUAUUAGAAGCUUCUCUUAUUGUUGCAUCCCUAGCACGACCAUUUAGAAGCCUCCCUGCAAUCCUAUCUUUUGCAGUAACUUUCUUCUUCAGCAUUGAUGAUAGUGUAGGUUCCUUCGUCUUACCUCGACGUCGACCACGUUGGCCCAAUGUUCCAGAG
rnacentral:lncRNA from 1 species